AUUGUCAGCCACCUGUGCCCCUCGUGCUGGGUAGUAUUCAAUAGGAGGUAUCGGUAGGAUAUUAAUAGCAGAAAUGUAUAUAUUUAAAGGGUUUUCUAGCACAUAUUUUGCUGUCUUUUUAAGAGGGUGAGCUUGUGUGUCUGUGUGAUCCUUCAACACAACUCAUUUUAAUUUCAGUGCUUUGGGCUGACAAUCCUGCAGAGAAUGCUGCUGACAGGGAGAGCCAUCUGUCAUCUCGACUAAAGAGCUCCUCCUCAAUCCCGAGCCCUUAUACGGAUAACACCAUUUGCCAUAAAAAAAAUGAAUAUGAGAAUAUGAGAUUCCCUGCCUUCUCUUCAAUUUUAAAUAAUAUUUCCUGCUCAUAGUACAGGGGCCGCGGGCAGUUGAGAAGGAUCCCAGACUGAAAGUGUUUUUGGGGAGACACGUGCAUGGAGGAGACUACGUUUUCCCCACUAUCCAUACAUCCUAGGCACCACCAUUGACCAAUUGAAGAGAAGAGUGAGGUUACAUAUGGCAGCCAGCAAGCAAUGACUUCAGAAGUCACUAUGUAGAUGAAUAGAGAUUGUGUAUGAUUUUUUGGUCAUCUGUUUGUAAUGCACACUGUGCAACGGGGUUUAAUAACCCAUUACCAUGUUAUACUCCACAAUAAAUAUUUUAGUUCUUGUUU